UCCCCCUUAGCUCAGUGGUAGAGCGCGUCACUAGUAUCCGCUUUUCCAAGCUCCGUUCAUGACGAGGUCAGUCGUUCAAGUCGGCUAGGGGGAA